rnacentral:rRNA from 1 species
ACGGCUCAGUAACACGUGGCUAACCUGCCCUUGGGAUAGGAACACCCCCGGGAAACUGGGGCUAAUUCCCAAUAGGCGAAGAACUCUGGAAUGAGUCUCCACCAGAAAGGGCAUCUGCGCUAUGCUCGCAGGUGUCGCCCAAGGAUGGGGCCGCGACCGAUCAGGUUGUUGGUGAGGUAAUGGCUCACCAAGCCUUUUACCGGUGCGGGCCGUGGGAGCGGGAGCCCGGAGAUGGGCACUGAGACAAGGGCCCAGGCCCUACGGGGCGCAGCAGUCGCGAAAACUUUGCAAUAAGCGAAAGCUUGACAGGGCUAUCCCGAGUGCCAUCCGCUGAGGAAGGCUUUUACCCAGUCUAGAACGCUGGGGGAAUAAGGAGAGGGCAAGUCUGGUGUCAGCCGCCGCGGUAAUACCAGCUCUCCGAGUGGUGUGGAUGUUUAUUGGGCCUAAAGCAUCCGUAGCUGGCUAGGUUAGUCCCCUGUUAAAUCCACCGAAUUAAUCGUUGGAUUGCGGGGGAUACUGCUUGGCUAGGGGACGAGAGAGGCAGACGGUAUUUCCGGGGUAGGGGUGAAAUCCUAUAAUCCCGGGAAGACCACCAGUGGCGAAGGCUGUCUGCUAGAACGCGCCCGACGGUGAGGGAUGAAAGCUGGGGGAGCGAACCGGAUUAGAUACCCGGGUAGUCCCAGCUGUAAACGAUGCAGGCUAGGUGUUUGGACGGCCACGUGCCGUUCUAGUGCCGCAGGGAAGCUGUUAAGCCUGCCGCCUGGGGAGUACGAUCGCAAGAUUGAAACUUAAAGGAAUUGGCGGGGGAGCAC